UACGAAGGGGGCUAGCGUUGCUCGGAUUGACUGGGCGUAAAGGGCGCGUAGGCGGCUUGGCAAGUGGAUGGUGAAAUCCCUCGGCUUAACCGAGGAACUGCCAUCCAGACUGCUUUGCUUGAGGCCGGGAGAGGUGAGUGGAAUUCCCAGUGUAGCGGUGAAAUGCGUAGAUAUUGGGAGGAACACCAGUGGCGAAGGCGGCUCACUGGACCGGUUCUGACGCUGAGGCGCGAAAGCGUGGGGAGCAAACGGG
rnacentral:rRNA from 1 species